rnacentral:rRNA from 1 species
UACGUAGGGUGCAAGCGUUGUCCGGAAUUACUGGGCGUAAAGGGCGCGUAGGCGGCCACCGCAAGUCGACUGUGAAAUCUCCGGGCUUAACCCGGAAAGGUCAGCCGAUACUGCGGGGCUAGAGUGCAGAAGGGGCAACUGGAAUUCUCGGUGUAGCGGUGAAAUGCGUAGAUAUCGAGAGGAACACCUGCGGCGAAGGCGGGUUGCUGGGCUGACACUGACGCUGAGGCGCGAAAGCUAGGGGAGCGAACGGG